GGCCUGGUAGCUCAGUUGGUUAGAGCGCCGCCCUGUCACGGCGGAGGUCGUGGGUUCGAGCCCCAUCCGGGUCGCCA
rnacentral:tRNA from 1 species